UUCAUGUUGUUGUUUGCAAGUUGACAUAGAUGACAGGACAAAGGAGCAUAGAUGGAAAGAAGAUGAAAAUUCAGAACAGAUGUCAGGAAGCAUUUUUCAUGCUGAACGUGUACAGUGGCCAACCAGAUCCUGCCUGUUCUGCAGCUGUUCCUUGUUAUACAAGCUGACUAGAAACUGAAGAAUAAACAUGAGGAAGAAAAGAAUAAUAGUGCUAUCUUAAC
rnacentral:lncRNA from 12 species